rnacentral:rRNA from 1 species
CAAUAGCGUAUAUCAAAAUUGUUGCGGUUAAGAAGCUCGUAAUUGGAUUUCUGCCGAGGACGACCGGUCUGCCCUGUGGGUGACCAUCUGGAUCGGCCUGGGCAUUUUCUUGGGGAACGUAGCUGCACUUGAUUGUGUGGUGCGGUAUCCAAGACUUUUACCUUGAGGAAAUUAGAAUGUUUCAAGCAGGCGCACGCCUUGAAUACAUUAGCAUGGAAAAAUAAGAUAGGACCUCGGUUCUAUUUUGUUGGUUUCUAAAGCUGAGGUAAUGAUUAAUAGGGGUAGUUAGGGGCAUUCGUAUUUAACUGUCACAGGUGAAAUUCUUGGAUUUGUUAAAGACGGACUACUGCGAAAGCAUUUGCCAAGGAUGUUUUCAUUGAUCAAGAACGAAAGUUAGGGGAUCGAAGACGAUUAGAUACCGU